UCUUAGCUGACGAGUGCCAAAUAAGACGAAACGCGCGUUAUAGAU
rnacentral:hammerhead_ribozyme from 1 species